rnacentral:rRNA from 1 species
AGCGAACGCUGGCGGCAGGCCUAACACAUGCAAGUCGAACGGAUCCUUCGGGAUUAGUGGCGGACGGGUGAGUAACACGUGGGAACGUGCCCUUUGGUUCGGAACAACUCAGGGAAACUUGAGCUAAUACCGGAUGUGCCCUUCGGGGGAAAGAUUUAUCGCCAUUGGAGCGGCCCGCGUCUGAUUAGCUAGUUGGUGGGGUAAAGGCCCACCAAGGCGACGAUCAGUAGCUGGUCUGAGAGGAUGAUCAGCCACAUUGGGACUGAGACACGGCCCAAACUCCGACGGGAGGCAGCAGUGGGGAAUCUUGCGCAAUGGGCGAAAGCCUGACGCAGCCAUGCCGCGUGAAUGAUGAAGGUCUUAGGAUUGUAAAAUUCUUUCACCGGGGACGAUAAUGACGGUACCCGGAGAAGAAGCCCCGGCUAACUUCGUGCCAGCAGCCGCCGUAAAAC